AAGCGGUGGAGGAUGUGGCUUAAUUCGAGGCUACGCGAAGAACCUUAUCCUAGUCUUGACAUGCACGGAUUAACCCCUGGAAACAGGGGCCACGCCUUCGGGUGGAACGUGCACAGGUGCUGCAUGGCUGUCGUCAGCUCGUGUCGUGAGAUGUCGGGUUAAGUCCCUUAACGAGCGAAACCCUUGUCACUAGUUGCCAGCGCGUCAUGGCGGGGACUCUAGCGAGACUGCCGGUGUUAAACCGGAGGAAGGUGGGGAUG
rnacentral:rRNA from 1 species